GCAGUCAUAGUAUAGCUUGGUCAGUAUACGGGGUUUCCAACCCUGCGACGCGGGUUCAAAUCCCGCUGACUGCA
rfam:Cenarchaeum symbiosum A, complete genome.